rnacentral:piRNA from 1 species
UUUGGACAUUGAUGGUAGGAGGGGU